AUGCAGUCGAGCGAACAGAUAAGGAGCUUGCUCCUUUGAAGUUAGCGGCGGACGGGUGAGUAACACGUGGGUAACCUACCUAUAAGACUGGGAUAACUUCGGGAAACCGGAGCUAAUACCGGAUAACAUUUAGAACCGCAUGGUUCUAAAGUGAAAGAUGGUUUUGCUAUCACUUAUAGAUGGACCCGCGCCGUAUUAGCUAGUUGGUAAGGUAACGGCUUACCAAGGCGACGAUACGUAGCCGACCUGAGAGGGUGAUCGGCCACACUGGAACUGAGACACGGUCCAGACUCCUACGGGAGGCAGCAGUAGGGAAUCUUCCGCAAUGGGCGAAAGCCUGACGGAGCAACGCCGCGUGAGUGAUGAAGGGUUUCGGCUCGUAAAACUCUGUUAUUAGGGAAGAACAAAUGUGUAAGUAACUGUGCACAUCUUGACGGUACCUAAUCAGAAAGCCACGGCUAACUACGUGCCAGCAGCCGCGGUAAUACGUAGGUGGCAAGCGUUAUCCGGAAUUAUUGGGCGUAAAGCGCGCGUAGGCGGUUUCUUAAGUCUGAUGUGAAAGCCCACGGCUCAACCGUGGAGGGUCAUUGGAAACUGGGAAACUUGAGUGCAGAAGAGGAAAGUGGAAUUCCAUGUGUAGCGGUGAAAUGCGCAGAGAUAUGGAGGAACACCAGUGGCGAAGGCGACUUUCUGGUCUGUAACUGACGCUGAUGUGCGAAAGCGUGGGGAUCAAACAGGAUUAGAUACCCUGGUAGUCCACGCCGUAAACGAUGAGUGCUAAGUGUUAGGGGGUUUCCGCCCCUUAGUGCUGCAGCUAACGCAUUAAGCACUCCGCCUGGGGAGUACGACCGCAAGGUUGAAACUCAAAGGAAUUGACGGGGACCCGCACAAGCGGUGGAGCAUGUGGUUUAAUUCGAAGCAACGCGAAGAACCUUACCAAAUCUUGACAUCCUUUGAAAACUCUAGAGAUAGAGCCUUCCCCUUCGGGGGACAAAGUGACAGGUGGUGCAUGGUUGUCGUCAGCUCGUGUCGUGAGAUGUUGGGUUAAGUCCCGCAACGAGCGCAACCCUUAAGCUUAGUUGCCAUCAUUAAGUUGGGCACUCUAGGUUGACUGCCGGUGACAAACCGGAGGAAGGGGGGGAUGACGUCAAAUCAUCAUGCCCCUUAUGAUUUGGGCUAC
rnacentral:rRNA from 1 species